rnacentral:misc_RNA from 1 species
UCCGAGUUGACCCCGGCAGUAUCCCAUGAGUUCCCACCAUUACGUGCUGGCAACAUAGGACGAGGGUUGCGCUCGUUGCGGGACUUAACCCAACAUCUCACGACACGAGCUGACGACAACCAUGCACCACCUCUAUGGCGGUCCCCGAAGGGAAGACCCUAUUUCUAGGGCUGUCCACCACAGUUCAAGCCCAGGUAAGGUUCUGCGCGUUGCAUCGAAUUAAACCACAUGCUCCGCCGCUUGUGCGGGCCCCCGUCAAUUCCUUUGAGUUUUAGCCUUGCGGCCGUACUCCCCAGGCGGGGCGCUUAAUGCGUUAGCUACGGCACGGAUUCCGUGGAAGGAACCCACACCUAGCGCCCACCGUUUACGGCGUGGACUAC